GGAAUACGCGGAACGACUCUUGGCUUCGUUUACACGUGAAACUAUCGUGCGUCCAUUGUGCUGCGCGAGAAUUCAGCAAAACUUACCGUGGAUAUAGAGAUGGAUAGAUAGGUAAUAGAGGGAGAAAAGAGAGAGAGAGAGAGAAAAAAAGAAGAGAAAGAGAGAAAGAGAGUGGAAUGCCAUACGAACGGAUUCGGAGUUUAUAGACGGUCGUAAAGUUUGUUCUGUUGGUUGCAUUUCUGGUAUAACGUGAACGAUAUUUUUCGCGUCACGUGAUCGUUGUCGAUCUUUUUCUAUGUAGUCAGGAAUUCUGUUUGACAUUUCGUGCAAGUAUAGAGGAAUUGUUGAAAGGAAACAAGGUUAAUUUAAGUUUUUUUUGAUGAUUUCUUUUAUAUGUAUGUAUCAUCUCAGAUACGAGCUGUGAAGUUUAAGAUUAAGUUGAGAUCAUUGAUAAUUUUGUUGAGUACUUUUUUAUGGAUAUAUAAGAUCACAAAAAAACGAUAAAUUUCAUUUGAUUUUUAAAAUAAUUUCGUUCUAGACCAAUUAAUAGUUAUUACUUCGAAUGAUAAUUUUUAUUUAUCAGCAUAAAUAAAUGUUAUCAUAGGUAGAUUUCUAAGAUAAUCAAAUAUAUACUUGGAUAUUUUUCAACAGAACCAUGCUAUAAAAUUAAAAUAAUUAAAGUAAGUAAAGAUUAGUUUAAAUUGGAUUAUUUAUACGAGAGGAUAGAUAGAAAGAUCGCGAAUAAUAGAAUUAUUAAAAAAAAUACGAAUCAUUUUAACAAUAUUAAAGUAAUAUAAAUAUUAUCUAUAAACAGAAACUAGAAAACUUUCUGACAAGUUCUUUCCAUUCAACGUUGAAAACUAUUAUCAUUGAAACUCUAAGAAGUGAGACAGCAUGGUGUGAUAAUAUGACAGAAAUGGAACAAAUUUUAUCACCAUCUCUCUUCAUUUAAUAUGAACAAGUGUCAUAAAAAAAAUUUAUAUUUUGUAUCUAAAUAUAAUUUCCAUCAUAAUUAUGUUUUUCACAAUUAAUUCAUUCUUAUUAUUAAUCUUUAUAAAUUUAAAAAUAUUUAUACGAAAAAACGUAAUUUUUUUUUAUUAUCACUUGUAAUUAAUUAUAACAAAACUACUAUAAUGUUUCAACUUUAAGCUUUAAUAUGGAAAUAUUUUAAACCUGAGGAAUUAAAUCCAGAAGAAAUCCAACCCAGCUACCAAUAGAAUAAAAAAAGAUCUUUCGUUGCCGAGAAAGAGCAGCCAAUCAAAUCAAAUUCCUGUUAUGCAUACAACAGGGCGCAACAUUUACGUAAUAACUCGACCGAUAAUUGAACGCAGGAUAUUUUAUUAUUCUUCUCGAGAUGGAAAACAACCAAAGAUCCUUCAUUUCCAUAGGAAGGUAUACACCAACGGGAAACAGGAUAAUAAACGAUCCACAAUGCUCAUCAUCGAUUCCUUUGUUGACUGAAUACGAACCAAUUUGCAAGAUGAUCAUUAAGCUACGUGGUUCAUCGUUUGUAAAUAAUCUGGCGAGGAUCGAGUGGUUGGUUAACUGUACUCUCGGUCCUGAACGACUUCUUUCUGACGUUCGACAUCAGGAUCCUCGAGGCGAAUUUCCAUCACUUUAGGAUAAAAAUAGAGUUGUCUUGGUUGGACUGGAUGGCUGGGAGAUUGGGCGGAGUGGAGCAAAAGGCACUUGGAUGGAGAAAAUGAAGCAGCUAUUAUAUGGCGUCGUGUCUCAGUUUAGGGGGUGCGUUAGAGAGCUGUAAAGUGUUUCGUGGUAAGCUGUUUUAUUUUAUGGCGUGGAAGAAUGGAUAGUUCUUAUAGCUGUGGUAUUAGAUGCUAAUGGAAAUUUUGUGAAUCGACAAGGAAGAUAAAUGAAGCGAUAAGGGAAAGAUAGUCUGAAGUGUAAAUAGAUCUGGGAGUGAAAUUUUCGAGAGCAAAUAAAUAUUGAAUGAAUGUUAAACGUGUGAUAUAAUAAUUCAAUUUAACUCUUAAUAAAGUAUUCAUUAAUGAAAAGAAUAUUAGACUUUUUUUCUAGCUUUCAUGUCAAAUGCUAAUGAAAAUUUUGUAUUUGGAAAGUAUAUGGAGUGAAUGAAAGAAAUAGAAAGAAAAGGGCUAAAAAGAUAUAAAUAGAUUUGAGAGUAAAUAAUUGAAAUAAUAAAGAGAAAAAGGAUAUUCUUAAUUUGAUAUUGUAAGUAUUGACAAAUAUUAAAAAUGUUAAAAAAGAGGCAAAGAAAAGAGAUCCAAGAUUUUGAGAUACAGAUAUAGAAUAAAUAUGAGAGUAAAACUGUCGAGAGUUGCUAUUAAAAGCAACUAAAUUUGUAAAUGAAUACUACGUUGAAAGUGACUGUUCAUAAGCAAUUUUCAUUCUUAACGUAGCGAGAAAUGACAUUUGAGAUUUCAAGAUUUAUUCUUGAAUGCAUUGAAAUUAGAUUACAGUUUCAAUAAUUUUUUUAAAUUUACACUGACAAUAAUUUCUAUUCUUAAUGUUCAUUUGUGAAAAAUGACAUUGCAGAAUAAAUCUCGAUAGAUUUACUUUCAAAUAUUAAAAUGCUUAGAAACUUGAACUUGAUUCUACACAAGAAUGGAUAUUAGAUAUUUUGAUAAAAUUUAUAAGGAAGAUAGAUGAAAUAUAAAAAUGUGAAAAAUGAAAUUCGUGUUUGUAAUAUCGAAAAACUUAAUUUAGAUUGUUUAAAUAUUUUAUUAAUUUUGAGUGAUUAUGAUCUCCUAUAAAAAUUCAUUUUGUAAUAAUAAUAUUGAAAAGAAAAAGAUUAUAACGUAAAGAAAAAGGACAGUAUUUUACUGUUUACAAAUUUGAUAAGAUAAAAAGAUACAAAAUAUGAUUCAAAUAAUUCAUUUUUCAUCA